AUCACCAGUGUCUCAAUGUGAAUUCUAGUAACUCUAAUUAUCACUGACCCUGACCAACAUUUAUAUGGGAAGCACCCACUUCUCAUACUGACAUUUCAAAGAAUUAGGGGUACAGCUCACUAACCAACAUAUUUUCCCUGAGUCAAAGAUGAAUUCUUCCAAAAGAACUGGAAGACACUGUAUCCAUCAAUGCUUACUUAGCCCUACACUGACAUGUACUGAGGAGGGAAAGCCAUGGAAAAACUCAGCCAAAAGGUUUUCUACCGGGAGUUGAGUGUUAAUCACUGGUAUCAAAUAUGUGACACUUAUUCUCUCGGCUUUUAAGAAAUGUUCUCUGGUUAUCUGUAAAAGUAUAUUCUUUAACUAUGAAAUCAAACUCUGAAGUGUAAAAACAUUAUUAAAACAAUAUUGUCAUUUUCAUCAUUGUCAAAAGACAUGCCUAUAAUUCCAACUAACUGGUUGGAAUUAAUGUACAAAGUACAUGGAUUAAUUCCCUUCAGGAGCUUACAGCUUAAGACUAAUAUUUGGUGGUGACACAUAGGUAGGUAAAUGUAGAUGCAAAAUGCCCAAAUCAGGGAAUUAUGAGAAAAGUGAAAAAAUGGCAGCAAUAAUAUCAGUCACAGUAGCCUCUACAGCAGUAGUGAUGAUCUUGAUGACAGCAACUACCUUCAAGGAGUACAUUUUAUAUAUACUAUUGUACUGAUCCUCACAACCACUCUAUAAUGUAGUUACUUUUACCAUUACCUAUUUAUAAAUUACUAAAGUGAGGGCUGGGCCAGGCACAUAACUCUCUCAAGGUGACACGUUUUUCACUGGUGAACACUGAAUUUUAUUACAGUUAGGUAGAGAGUACAUGUAUUAAGGCAUAUUGUUAGAGUGGGAGACAAAGGUAAAUAUUUAUCAUUAGCCUUGAUUUUUAUUCAUUAUACAUACACUACUUUGCUCCAAAAAUGAUUUAAGGUGGUUCUUGGCACAAUCAUGAAUAAUAUUCUGGAUAAAUCUUCUCUGAUCAGUCUGGAAAGUGACUCACAAAAAUAAUACCCUUUCGAAAGUUGUUAUCGGCAAUCAUGUAGUAACAAGGUGGCAGAAUGAAUCAUUAAUUACAAUUUAAGUAAAUGCCAAUGUCAUGCCAAAUUUAUUCUAAAAUGACAAGCUCGUCCCAAGAUUCUGAACUACUAUAACAAUUCUGUGCUACUCAUUUGGUAUUCAAUUAGAUUGCCUUCCCAAUAUUUUUCCUGAACAUCCUGAGCACUAUAAACAACAGCUUGUGUAUAGCAGAUAUUAAUUCAUGAAUUUAGUUGAAGUGAAAUUCCCUGGGGCCGGGCGGGGUGGCUCACGCCUGUAAUCCCAGCACUUUGGGAGACCGAGGCGGGCAGAUCACCUGAGGUAAGGAGUUUGAGACCAGCCUGGCCAACAUGGUGAAAUCCCAUUUCUACUAAAAAUACAAAAAUUAGCUGUGCGUGGUGGCAGGUGCCUGUAAUCCCAGCUACUUGGGAGGCUGAGGCAGGAGAAUCGCUUGAACCCAGGAGACAGAGGUUGCAGUGAGCCAAGAUCACACCACUGCACUUCAGCCUGGGUGACAGAGUGAGAUGCUGUAUCCAAAAAAAAAAAAAAAAAAAAAAUCCUUGGGGCAGGUAAAUGACAAGCUUAGUAAAGAUAUAUAAAAGUUAAAAGUAUAUAUAUAUAAAAAGCGUGAGAUUAUGUGUAAUAUACCAAGCCAAGAUCAAGUCUUGCUCAUUUUAAUACUCCUCACAUAGAGUUUUGUGCAGAGUAGAGGGCUUAGUAAAUAUGUGCUCAGACAAGGAGAAUGAAACUAAAUUACAGAACAACAUUACACAUUAAACAAUAAGGUGCUGAUUUUGGACAUAUUCAAUAACAAAUUAUUAGUUAUGUGAAAAAGAAACCAGACCCAGAAAUUUUUAGUGGGAUUUUGACCGUGUUAUAAUGAAGAGUCGGGGUGUGGAUAAAUGGAAAAGUAGGACAGAGAUAUUUAAAUCGGAGGAAAAGGUAUGGCUUGAGAAAGAAACAUGAAGGAUGCACUGAAAAGAUCUCAAGGAAACAAAUCUGCCUUUUGGGAAAAAAACUUUAUUUCUUAGGAAAAGUGGGACAAAUGGGUAGAGAAGUGGUUCCAAAUUAUAAAAGGCUUCAAAUACUAGGUUGAAUAAACAUAACCUAAUACAAAAUUAUCAUGGGUUUUUAAAAUUCAGAAGUGGCACAAUAAAAGCAAUGUCUUAGGAGGAUUCAUUUGAGAUAGAUAUUCUUGUUAUAUGAUAUUAAUGUGCAGAAGGUUGAGUUUCAGAUGACCCAAAGUGAUAAAAUUACAUAAACCUAAAAAGCAGGCCAAAGAGUAGGGCAACUUUCAGCCUAGAAAUAUAAAUUGUGAUACUGAUUAAUUAAAUGGAUAGAUUUAUGGUCCUAGUUCUGGGUUUCACCAGCUAACUAUGAUAAAACAUGGUGGCAGUAGGCAGGAUAACUAGAGGUGAAAGCUGUUCAAUUAAAAAUGUCCUGGCGGGGCACGGUGGCCAGUGUUACAGCUGGGUACUGUCUGAUGGUUUGGAUAUAUUUCCUUCACAAAGGCUAACCAAGAAGACUGAAAAUGACCCAAAGUAAAUAAAGUAAAACAUUAGGGCUCCUAAAGCCAGAAAGCAAAUAACUCUUCCCAAGGAUAAUUCCCAUCUAACCCAAAGGUUGCAUUGUAGUCAAAUGCCAACCACUUUCAAGUAAAGGAACUCAACACACAAGAUGAGAACAUGGUCAGCUUAAACUGACAAUUGGCAUAAAGAGAUCUGGGUUCUGGAAAGAUCUCAAACUAUUUUAUGUGAGUAGUUUUCCAGAUGGUAUACAUUUUUAGAAGUUAAAAAAAGUAACAAAUUUCAAAGGUAAUGACAGAAAACAGGCAUUCUCUGCCUACCACCAGAGUAUACUGUGAACCUUCCUGGUCAUCUUGCUUUCUUAAGUACUUUUGUUCAAUCCACAAAAAUCUAACGUUUGAAUAAAAAUAAUAAAAUAUAACUUGAUAAAAUUUAAUUGACAUAGUUACUGCAUAAAUGAAAUUGGAAGAAAAUUAGAAAUCAUUAGACUUAUUGAACUGUUUUUUUUUUUUUUUUUGAGACAGCCUUGCUCUGUCACCGAGGCUAGAGUGCAGUGGCCCAAUCUCAGCUCACUGCAACCUCCACCUCCCGCACUCAAGCGAUUCCCGUGCCUAAGCAUCCUGAGUAGCUAGGAUUACAGGCGCCCACCACCAUGCCUGGCUAAUUUUUGUAUUUUAGUAGAGACAGGGUUUCACCAUGUUGGCCAGGCUGGUCUCAAACUCCUGAUCCCAGGUGAUCCACCACCUCGGCCUCCCAAAGUGCUGGAAUUACAGGCAUGAGCCACCACACCUGGCCUGAACUUUUACAUAUGUAUUUGCUUUCCAUUAUUUAAUAAAAAUCUCUAGGGACUUACAGUUCUGAGACAUGAUGAAAUAGCUGCACUUCUUUUUUUUAUUUUUAUUUUUAUUUU
rnacentral:lncRNA from 1 species